rnacentral:rRNA from 1 species
UUGGAGGGAAGUCUGGUGCCAGCAGCCGCGGUAAUUCCAGCUCCAAUAGCGUAUAUUAAAGUUGUUGCAGUUAAAAAGCUCGUAGUUGAAUUUCGGGAUCAAAUUGUUGGUCGUGCUUCGGUACGCACUGGCAUUAUUGGUUCCUACCUUCUGAAGAACCGCGAUGUCAUUAAUUUGGUGUCGUGGGGAAUCAGGACUGUUACUUUGAAAAAAUUAGAGUGUUUAAAGCAGGC